UCUGAGAUUUGGGAUAUUUACUGUAACAGAACCCAGAGGUCACAGCAAAGUUCUCUUUUUUGUAAAUUUAGAACCCAGCCCAGCCCCUUGUUUGAAGGACAUGAGUAGAACGUGGCUGUAAGUUCUUUCAUCCUGAGCAGCAACUGAACUGUUUUGCUUGGUCCCAGCACAUUUUCCCAAAUAAAUACUUAUUUUUGGAGUAUGGGAUGUAACUAUCACUGAACCUACACAUUUUAUUACCUACUGCAAUUCAAUUAAUGCCUACUGAACUUUCCAACCUUCUCUAUGGCAAUUAGGCUUUAACUUCAAAGGGAUUCUCCAAGGACAGUGGUACAAAUCCCCUGACCAUGAAUAUUUUUGUUUUAUAACUGCAUCUUUGUUUUCUGGAUUCUGGAAUCUUGCAGUGGCACUGAAGCUCUCCUUCAGCUGCAGGCCAGGCUCUUUGAGAGAACAGAAAUGGUUGGAAGCAGCUUCCCAGGACACACAGCUGUGCCCACUUUCCCACACUGCUCUGUCAAGGAUGGAAGAACGGAUGGAAGCUCCAUGGGAAUCUGACACACAGCAAGUGCAAUGAUGGAGGCUGUGAGGAAAAUAUGAAAAGAAUGCUCUGGAAACUUUGGCUGUGUGAGUACCUUUAUAAGCCAAGCUGG